rnacentral:rRNA from 1 species
CGGUAAUUCCAGCUCCAAUAGCGUAUACUAAAGUUGUUGCAGUUAAAAAGCUCGUAGUUGGAUUUCUGCGGGGACGGAGCGGCCGGUCGCAACUUGCGACUCGAGCUAGCGCUUUCCCCGCAUCCUGCCGCGAACCGUGCUACCAUUAGUUUGGUGGCGCUGGGGAUCGGCUCGAUUACUUUGAGAAAAAUAGAGUGUUCAAAGCAGGCCACACGCCUUGAAUAAGUUAGCAUGGAAUAAUGACUAAGGACUUUGGUUCUUUUCGUUGGUGUUCGGGACUGAAGUAAUGAUUGAUAGGGACAGUUGGGGCGGUCCGUAUUCCAAAGCGAGAGGCGAAAUUCUUAGACCUUCGGAAGACGAACAGCUGCGAAAGCGUUCCGCAAGGAUGUUCCCUUUGAUCAAGAACGAAAGUUGGGGGAUCGAAGACGAUCAGAUACCGUCGUAGUCUCAACUAUAAACUAUACCAGCUAGGGAUCGGCCAACGUUUAAUUAUUCGACUUGGUCGGCACCUUAUGAGAAAUCAAAGCAUCUGGGUUCCGGGGGGAGUAUGGUCGCAAGGCUGAAACGUAAAGGAAUUGACGGAAGGGCACCACCAGCCGUGGAGCCUGUGGCUUGAUUUGACUCAACACGGGAAAACUUACCAGGUCCGGACAUAGUAAGGAUUGACAGAUUGAUAGCUCUUUCUUGAUUCUGUGGGUGGUGGUGCAUGGCCGUUUUUAGUCGGUGGAUGUGAUCUGUCUGCUUAAUUGCGUUAACGGACGAGACCCCAGCCUGCUAAAUAGCGCGGCCGAGCUUUGCUCGGUGCGAGCUUCUUAGAGGGACCAUGAUGCGCGAUAGCACAAGGAAGUUUGGGGCAACAACAGGUCUGUGAUGCCCUUAGAUGUUCUGGGCCGCACACGGGCUACACUGGCGCCUGCAACAAGCAUAUCAGCUGGCCCGAGAGGGUCUUGGCUAAUCUUUGGAACCGGCGCCGUGCUUGGGAUUGACCAUUGCAAUUGUUGGUCAUGCAACGAGGAAUGCCUUGUAAACGCGAGUCAUCAGCUCGCAUUGAAUACGUCCCUACCCUUUGUACACACCGCCCGUCGCUCCUACCGAUGAAUGUUCCGAUGAAAUUUUCGGAGAGCGCCGGAGAACGGGGCUCCGCCCUGCAGAACUGGAGGCUCAAAGUCACUUAAAUCUGAACAUUUCGAGGAAGGAGAAGUCGUAACAAGGUAGCCG